AUCUUCGGCAAUGGGCGAAAGCCUGACCGAGCGACGCCGCGUGCGGGAUGAAGGCCUUCGGGUUGUAAACCGCUGUCGUUGGGGAGGAAGUGCAGGGGGGUUCUCCCCUCUGUUUGACCUAUCCAAGGAGGAAGUACGGGCUAAGUUCGUGCCAGCAGCCGCGGUAAGACGAACCGUACGAACGUUAUUCGGAAUUACUGGGCUUAAAGGGUGCGUAGGCGGCGCGGUAAGUUGGGUGUGAAAGCCCUCAGCUCAACUGAGGAACUGCACUCAAAACUACCGUGCUUGAGGGAGACAGAGGUAAGCGGAACUCAAGGUGGAGCGGUGAAAUGCGUUGAUAUCUUGAGGAACACCGGUGGCGAAGGCGGCUUACUGGGUCUUUUCUGACGCUGAGGCACGAAAGCUAAGGUAGCAAACGGGAUUAGAUACCCCGGUAGUCUUAGCUGUAAACGAUGAGCACUUGUUUGAAGGGUCCUCCAUAGCCUUUCAGACGUAGCGAAAGUGUUAAGUGCUCCGCCUGGGGAGUAUGGUCGCAAGGCUGAAACUCAAAGAAA
rnacentral:rRNA from 1 species